CACGUAGGGGCCGAGCGUUGUCCGGAAUUACUGGGCGUAAAGGGCGCGUAGGCGGCCUUCUAAGUCGAACGUGAAAUCCCCGGGCUCAACCCGGGAACUGCGUCCGAUACUGGAAGGCUUGAAUCCGGGAGAGGGAUGCGGAAUUCCAGGUGUAGCGGUGAAAUGCGUAGAUAUCAGGAGGAACACCGGUGGCGAAGGCGCACAUCUGGCCCGAUACUGACGCUGAGGCGCGAAAGCUAGGGGAGCAAACGGG
rnacentral:rRNA from 1 species